rnacentral:lncRNA from 1 species
CUCAAUUUGGUGGAGACUCGGCUUUCGUUCGGUUCGGGUGGAAGUGGGGGGUCUGCAUUGGGCUUCUGGGAUCUGGGGGGCAGAGAGCAGCCCAUGAUAUUCAAGCCCCAACCGACUCUGCUCACAAGCUGCCGGGACCCCAGACCUCACCUGGAAGUGGCAGAACCCACCUGGGCGCAAAGCUUCGACCAGGACGCGGUGGAGGAUCCAGCCGGCAGCUCCCGACAGACCGAGCGCCCGGGGCUGCGUCAGCAUCCAGAGGUGCCACGGCCCCGCCUGGGGAAGGCUCGGGUUGCAGAAACUGGGGUGAGCAGCCCAUGGGGUGGGGGC